CGAUUUUAGCAUGUAAAUCUUGUUGGGGCAAACGAAAUAAAAAAUAAUAAUUAAAAAAAACAUGUUCGAUGCAUGUUCGAACACUAAACAAUACAUGAACUGCACUAUAACGGCGACAAGCGGUGCCCACAAACUGGUGCAUGUACACUAACUAGAUAGCGGUAAAUUGCCGCACAUUGCGAAGCUACCUAACUUCAUAUUAACUAGCUAUCUUGAUGUAUUUAUCACUGUAAAAAACAAAACAAAUUCAAAAGCAAUUGUAGGUAGCGAGCUAACAGCCAUGGAGGAGGGUGAAAGGAUAGUAGCCCCAACUGUCAAAGUGAGAGAGGAGACUAUUCUGGAUAGGGCAGGUACUUUUGUGUAGUUCCUGUUCUUAUGAGGACGGCGAUAAUAGUAACAUAAAACUCACUGUGGUGUAAUUUGACUCUAACGAAGUCUGUUUCUUGUGAGGUUUUCUGUCCUCAGAUAAAGAGAGCUAUGAAAGCCUGUCUGCAUAUGAAGAGGUCCGUCCCAAUGAAGAGCAGUGGUUCUCAGUCCUGGGGACACAAAGAGGUGCAUGUUUUUUCCUCAGCACUGCACAGCUGAUUCAAAUGAUCAACUCAUCAUCAAGCUUCAAGUGAUACCUUGUAGCUGGAGAUCCCUUCAAAACAAUUGGCUACAGUUAACGUGUAGGGCACUGCAAGGUUGUGUGACCAGGGUCAUCUGGGACUGCCUCCUGGAGGAAUUCAGGUGUGUGAAGGCUACCUGUGUCCUGCAUAACUUCAUGAUGGAUGGACACGAGGACCAGGAUGGGAUCUGCAGCUCGCUGCCGUGUGCCAGAGGAGGAGUCUGCUGCUCUGCAGGAUGUUUCAAGGACGGGGUCCAACAUCACAGUAAGAGAGGCAGAUCUUCACCUUCUACUUCUUUCGAAGAGGGUGCUGUGCCCUGGCAACACCAUAGACUAGGACUUGCAUCGCGUUCAACGUCACAAAUAGAAGCAACUUCUAUUUUAGCGCCUGGCAACGCAGACGCUCGUUGGCGCAUGCGAGCAGUGUGGAUGCAAUGAUUGAAUGACAUGGAUGUGUACAUUUAUUUUGCAAUGCACACGGUGGUCAGCAUGUAAAGCCCUAUGCUGCCCGAACCGGACGAGUUGGGUGCGCAAGCGUUGCAAAAUAAACAUUGUCAUGGCUGGUUGUGAUACAGCCCGGAAUCGAAACCAGGGUGUCUGUAGUGUAUAACUGUAAAAUUAUGUAAUGUAAGGUUGAGAGAAUGCCAAGAGUGUGCCAAGCUGUCAUUAAGGCAAAGGGUGACUACUUUUGAAGAAUCUGAAAUAUUAAAUUCAAAAGGCACUCACACAUCUUGAGCAAUUGUUUUGCAGGCGCAUGGUAACAGUUGGACAAGAUGAAUGAAAAAGGAAACCGCACACUGCUCUUGAUAGUACCACUGAUCUUUACUAAGCUUUACGUAUCGGCCUCACGGCCUUCAUCAGAGCAUUUGUGAGUUUUGUUAAAUUAGCACCUUUUAAGUAGACCUAGCCCCGCCCACAUCCGUUCCAUCGAAUGGGUGGGGAAGGAAACAUUGCGACUGGAUAAUCCCUGUCAUUUCUCCUGAUUGAACUUUUGUGUUCACUAAUUCUCUGUUUGAGAGAUCGAGAGGUUUUACCGACAUAGCAGAGCCCACAUGGACAUUUAAUAAUGUAGAUAACAUGGGUGGUGGAACACGUAAUGAUGUCAUUUAUUUGGAACCGUUUUCCUGUGUGUGGGUGGCAGAAAUAUUCACCCUUCAUCAUAUUGUUGCACUGUGCGCAUCCUCUGCAUUUAUAGCCACCAUUUGGAAGAGGGCGUAAAAGAGCCUGGCUGAUUUUCUUUUGUGGCACGGACCAAUUUAUCGUGUAAAUUGCGACCUCUCCUAUACACAAUAAGUGGUGGAUUUGUUUGUGGAUCAGGAGAAACGACAGGGAUUAUCCAGACGCAGUACAUUUCAAUGACCUAAAACAUGACAUUUCCACCUUUUAGAUUUUGUGGCAUAGAGAAAGUUAAGAUAUCAGACAGGGGAGGCGAUAUAAAUAAUGCUCUGAGUUAAAGGGAAUGUUUUGGGAUUUUCACCCUCCAGACAUUAUUUCCUAAAGGACUUAAUGAUGAAAUGCCUAUGUGUGUUAUGUUGUAAAUUUGAACAUGAAUUAUGUGCCUAUUUAAGAUUACUCUUGAUGUUUUUCGUACGAUGUACCCAAUGAUUAAUUAAAACUUGCUAUGUCCUCAUAGUGGUUUUGCAGACGUGUUUAAUACGUCCUAAUUACACACUUUAUUUGAAUAUUUAUGAAAUGCAUAUUGUCAUAUUUGGUAGCACUUAUUUGUUUUUCUUUGGCCUCCAGCCCCUUUUGAUGCAUGGAACGAAUGUGGGCGGGGCUAGGUCUACAUAAGAGUGCUAUUUUUUUUAUUUUAUUCACAAAAUCUCUGAUGAAGGCCGUGAGGCCGAUAAGUAAGCUUAUUAAAGAUCAGUGAUACUAUCAAUAACAGUGUGUGUUUUCCUUUUCCCCUCAAGAACCUCAAAUAUAAAAUAUAUUUCGAUUUGUUGAACACUUUUUUGGUUACUACAUGAUUCCUUAUGUGUUAUUUCAUAGUUUCUACAAUGUAGAAAUAAAUAAAAACCAUUGAAUGAG